rnacentral:misc_RNA from 1 species
GAACUCACGGUGAAUCCCACUACAAGUUAUGCACACGAAGGUCCAGAAAUUCGUACACACAUACUGUGGACCCAGGCUGUCGCAAUUGAUGCAUCUCCGGUUCGGCGGGAGCUUCAUGAGCCCCCGGAUGAUCUUCUCGUUCCGCUCCUCCUCCUUCUUGCUGCUCAUCCUUGCCGAUCCCUUCGCGGCGGCGCUAGGGUUUU